UAUUCUUGUUCAGUGUGGUUGCAAAGUAUCAAGUAGUUGAAAAGUUGCUAAUUAGGUAAAUGCUAAAGUUGUCCUUGAUGAGAUUCGAAAUCGCAACCAUUGGGUUACUAGACUUCGUCAUACACCCAUCCAUCCAUCCCGACCAAGCACCCUACUUUCAUUCCUGCCUUUAGUAAUCAUCUGUUUUAUGUAACCAUUCCAAAAGUAACAGAUCAUACUAAUUUGUGUGUCCCAGAUUUAUGUUAACUAUGUUACAUCAAGUUGAUGAGACCAGGCUGAAGUGAAAUCCUUAGUACAAAGCUCUUGGCCCUUAUAUUUCAAGUUCUCACUUUGCCCAAUUUGGCAUUUAUAAGAGAUCGAUUAAGUCAAUAUCUGCUUGUUGCAAAUUUUGAAACGUUCAAUAGUACAUGGCAGUGUUGUGUUCGAGACCACCUAAAGUGAGACCGAUUCAAGACCAAGGCUGAGGGGGGCGAGACCGAGUCAAGACGAGACUGGGAGGGGGACAAGAAGGCGUCCGAGAAAGAGUCAUGACCGAGACCAAAAGAAUGCGAGUCCAAUUAAAGACCAUGAUUGUAAUUCUGUCAAAUCGCCACCAUAAUAAGAGUAAAAAAUAUUUAGUAUUUCUGCGUUCAUAUUUCAGAACAACAUAUAGAUUCUUUGUACAUUCAGAAUAGUGAAAAAAUGCAUGCCGAGGGAAAAUAUAGCCGAACUACAAAUUAUUACUAACCCAAACACAGUGGGGAACAAUGGGCCUUAUAUGCCUUCAGAGAAGGGCUAAGGAUUUAUAAAAUAAUUAUUAUAAUAAGUCAGCCUUUGGCUAGGUCAUCUGAAGCUACUGUAGAUAAAGGCAUCUGCCAUUCAACUGUAUUAAGGCAACAUUUUGGAGGAACAGUGUAAUCAAUCAAUCCCAUUUAGACUUAAUCGGUGGGACCGUUUUCACAAAAACCUAUGGAAACUUCUGGCUUUUUUAAGACCAACAGGUCACUCACCGCGCAAUAGCGAGCAGUAGUUGUCUUACGGUCUAGCUAGCUAGUUUUUCUUGUUGGCUAGUUUUUCAGUGGCUGCAGCUGGUGUUAUCAAAGAGGAUGUUGUUGCUAAUUUGUUAACUUCUCCCUUUUCAAGGAAAUGUUCAUCAUCUGGAGAGGAAGUAGAGCUGACUUCAUCACCCACACCAGUUCACCUCCAAGACUAGAACAGGACCCACACAAACACACCUGUAGAGCGAGAUACGGAGAGAUAAAGUUUCCGUCAUGGGGCGCCACGAUGAUUGUGCCGUUUGUGAAUUGCAGUACACUGAUCCUCUUACUGUGUGCCGAGGGAGAAUCCAUCCAAAUCGUCAUCAUUGAAAAAUGAAAAUCAGUUUCAUCAGAGGAAAAGAGAGAGACAUGCUCCAGGAGUUGACAUUGGGUGGCUGGUUGAAUCACAUGUUUCCCUUGGAAUCUCCACACACACCCAACUCUGGAGACAUGACACAGAUUAACGAUGCAGUUAAUACAUUAUUCAUAUAACAACUUGUUUACAGAUGAUUCACAAGAUGUAUCAAAAUGUGUAUGUGAGUGUCAUUGUACUGCAGUGCAGCUACCUCCCUCCACAGUCAAUGCAGAUAUCCAGCCACCUUUUCCCUCACUAGUCCCGUCCAUUUCUAUCUCAAUGUCACCACAUGAUGACAUGUCAGUCUUUGGGCCCAUGGCAUUCUAGGGAAGGCAGAUAUUACCAUCCAUCCAUGGCCGAAAUGCCAGAGGGGCUGGUCCAUUUUUUGUGCAGUGGGCAUAUAAGGGAUCCCUAAGAGGCUAGCCUCUUAAGGAUCUGCCACUAUUUUUCAAUUUUCGCCUAAAAUGACAUAACCAAAGCCAACUGCCUGUUGCUCCUGAAGCAAGGAUAUGCAUAUUCUUGGUACCAGUUGAAAGGAAACACUUUGAAGUUGUGGAAAUGUGAAAGGAAUGUAAGAGA